GACGAACGCUGGCGGCGUGGAUUAGGCAUGCAAGUCGAACGGUAUCAUCCUUUCGGGGGUGAGAGAGUGGCGAACUGGUGAGUAACACGUAGGUUAUCUACCCUCAAGACGGGGACAACCCAGGGAAACUUGGGCUAAUACCGGAUGUGAGCAACCUUUAGUUGUUUGAAAGGUGGCGUAAGCUGUCGUUUGGGGAUGAGCCUGCGUCCUAUUAGUUAGUUGGUGAGGUAACGGCUCACCUAGGCAAUGAUAGGUAGGCGGCCUUAACGGGUGGUCGCCCACACUGGGAUUGAGAUACGGCCCAGACUCCUACGGGAGGCAGCAGUCGAGAAUAGUCUACAAUGGUCGGAAGACUGAUAGUGCGACGCCGCGCGAACGAUGAAUCCCUUCGGGGUGUAAAGUUCUUUUAUAUGUGAGCAGUGCUUCUUAUAUUAACAGUAUGGGGAGAGAGAUAUUAGCAUAUGAAUAAGCAACGGCUAACUCCGUG
rnacentral:rRNA from 1 species